UACGGGGGGAGCAAGCGUUGUUCGGAUUUACUGGGCGUAAAGGGCGCGUAGGCGGUCAGCACAAGUCAGUUGUGAAAUCUCCGGGCUUAACUCGGAAAGGUCAACUGAUACUGUGCGACUAGAGUGCAGAAGGGGCAACUGGAAUUCUCGGUGUAGCGGUGAAAUGCGUAGAUAUCGUAAGGAAGACCAGUGGCGAAGGCGGAUCUCUGGACAGUUACUGACACUGAGGCACGAAGGCCAGGGGAGCAAACGGG
rnacentral:rRNA from 1 species